CAAUGUGUCUCAGAGUUUAGU
rnacentral:miRNA from 12 species